CUCCUAGUACGAGAGGACCGGAGUGGACGAACCUCUGGUGUUCGGGUUGUCAUGCCAAUGGCAUUGCCCGGUAGCUAAGUUCGGAAUCGAUAAGCGCUGAAAGCAUCUAAGCGCGAAGCGAGCCCUGAGAUGAGUCUUCCCUGGCACUUUAAGUGUCCUAAAGGGUUGUUCGAGACUAGAACGUUGAUAGGCAGGGUGUGUAAGUGCUGUGAGGCAUUGAGCUAACCUGUACUAAUUGCCCGUGAGGCUUAACCAUACAACACCCAAGGGGUUU
rnacentral:rRNA from 2 species